GAAUACUCUCAUUGUUAAGUGGGGAAUCUGUUCCGUGCAAUCACAAAUUCUUCCCCUGGCUUGGAAUGUUCAGAAUUUGAAGUUUAUUGAGAAACUCGAAUGAGGGAGCUAAAAGAAGAUGAUAUACUGCAUUAUCAGAAGUUGAUAUAUCUCUGGGGUCCCUCUACUUUUGUCAUUUGGUAAGUUGCAAUGGUUUUGUUCAUGAAGGGAAGACAACUGCAAGACUAUUCUGGGACACUUAACACAAACAUUUGGUAAGCAGAAAUGACUAAAUGACCAUCAAAUGCUGCAUUAAGUGGAGAGAAUGGUAUGUUCUUUUUCCAAGUGAAUAUUUACAGCCUCCUCUCUCCCAAUGCCCAAUAAAAUAGGCCAGGUUAAAGAUGGUAUCAUUAGUCUACUGAUUCUAUCAUCAUUCAUCAUGGUCAUCACCAAAAUGGCUACUCCACUUAAUUGACCUUUGCACAAUCCUUUUACGUGUCUGAUCAUUAUCUUCCUCACCAGAUGCCUCAUCUCC